rnacentral:rRNA from 1 species
CCUGCCUUUAGGUCUGGGAUAAGCCGCCGAAAGGGGGUCUAAUACCGGAUAACACCUUUCUAUCGCAUGGUAGAAAGUUCAAAGACCGCUUGCGGUCGCCUGAAGAUGGGCCCGCGGCCUAUUAGCUAGUUGGUGAGAUAACAGCCCACCAAGGCUGCGAUGGGUAGCCGUCCUGAGAGGGUGAACGGCCACACUGGGACUGAGAUACGGCCCAGACUCCUACGGGAGGCAGCAGUAGGGAAUAUUGCGCAAUGCCCGAAAGGGUGACGCAGCGACGCCGCGUGGGUGAUGAAGCUUCUUGGAGCGUAAAGCCCUUUCAGAAGGGAAGAACCGCAUGGAGGUGAACCUCCGUGCCUGACGGUACCUUCAGAAGAAGCUCCGGCUAACUCCGUGCCAGCAGCCGCGGUAAUACGGAGGGAGCAAGCGUUGUUCGGAAUCACUGGGCGUAAAGGGCGCGUAGGCGGACCGGUGAGUCAGGUGUGAAAACCCGGGGCUUAACCCCGGGCCUGCACUUGAUACUAUCGGUCUUGAGUACGAGAGAGGAAAGCGGAAUUCCAGGUGUAGCGGUGAAAUGCGUAGAUAUCUGGGAGAACACCGGUGGCGAAGGCGGCUUUCUGGCUCGAUACUGACGCUGAUGCGCGAAGGCUAGGGGAGCAAACAGGAUUAGAUACCCUGGUAGUCCUAGCGGUAAACGAUGGGCACUAGGUGUUGGAGGACUUACCCCUUCAGUGCCGCAGCUAACGCAUUAAGUGCUCCGCCUGGGGAGUACGAUCGCAAGAUUGAAACUCAAAGGAAUUGACGGGGCCCCGCACAAGCAGUGGAGUAUGUGGUUUAAUUCGAUGCAACGCGAAGAACCUUACCUGGGCUUGACAUCAACUGGAAAGCCAUAGAGAUAUGGCCCCCUCUUCGGAGGUCGGUUGACAGGUGCUGCAUGGCUGUCGUCAGCUCGUGCCGUGAGGUGUUGGGUUAAGUCCCGCAACGAGCGCAACCCCUGUCCAUAGUUACCAGCGGUUCGGCCGGGCACUCUAUGGAGACUGCCUCGGUUAACGAGGAGGAAGGUGGGGAUGACUUCAAGUCCUCAUGGCCCUUACGUCCAGGGCUACACACGUACUACAAUGGCCGGUACAGAGGGUUGCAAUGCCGCGAGGUGGAGCCAAUCCCUAAAGCCGGUCCCAGUUCGGA